ACUGCUCAGUAACACGUGGACAACCUACCCUCAGCACGGGGAUAAACCCGGGAAACUGGGUAUAAUACCCGAUAGUUCUGAGAUGCUGGAAUGCGUUCAGGACGAAAGCUCCGGCGACUGAGGAUGGGUCUGCGGCCUAUCAGGUAGUAGUGGGUGUAAUGUACCUACUAGCCUACGACGGGUACGGGUCGUGAGAGCGAGAGCCCGGAGAUGGAUUCUGAGACACGAAUCCAGGCCCUACGGGGUGCAGCAGGCGCGAAAACUUUACAAUGCUGGCAACAGCGAUAAGGGGACCUCGAGUGCCAGGAUACAAUCUUGGCUGUCGCGAUGCCUAAAAAGCAUUGCAUAGCAAGGGCCGGGCAAGACCGGUGCCAGCCGCCGCGGUAACACCGGCGGCCCGAGUGGUAACCGCUAUUAUUGGGUCUAAAGGGUCUGUAGCCGGCCGGAUAAGUCUCUUGGGAAAUCCAGCUGCUCAACAGUUGGGCUUUCAGGAGAUACUGUUCGGCUCGAGGCCGGGAGAGGUGAGAGGUACUUCAGGGGUAGGGGUGAAAUCUUGUAAUCCUUGAAGGACCACCAGUGGCGAAGGCGUCUCACCAGAACGGACCUGACGGCAAGGGACGAAAGCUAGGGGCACGAACCGGAUUAGAUACCCGGGUAGUCCUAGCCGUAACGAUGCUCGCUAGGUGUCACGGCAGUCGUGAAUUGUCGUGGUGCCGUAUGGAAGCCGUGAAGCGAGCCACUUGGGAAGUACGACCGCAAGGUUGAAGCUUAAAGGAAUUGGCGGGGGAGCAC
rnacentral:rRNA from 1 species